rnacentral:rRNA from 1 species
CUGCCCACUGAAUUUAUUUAAAGGGCUGCAGUAUAUUGACUGUACAAAGGUAGCAUAAUCAAUAGUCUUUUAAUUGAAGACUUGUAUGAAUGAUUUGAUGAAAUAUGAACUGUCUCUUUUUUAAAAAUAAAAUUUAAUUUUUUAGUUAAAAAGCUAAAAUAAUUAUAAAAGACGAGAAGACCCUAUAGAGUUUUAUAGUUAUUUAAUUUAAAAAUUUUAUAUAUAAUUUAAAUUUAAAAUUAAUUAAUUAUUUUAUUGGGGUGAUAGAAAAAUUAAAAAAACUUUUUUUAAAAAUUUAACAUUAAUUUAUGAAAUUAUGAUCCAUAAUUUAUGAUUAAAAGAAUCAAUUACCUUAGGGAUAACAGCGUAAUUUUUUUUUUUAGUACAAAUAAGAAAAAGAGUUUGCGACCUCGAUGUUGGAUUAAGAUAAAAUUUAAAUGCAAAAGUUUAAAAUUUUUGAUCUGUUCGAUCAUUAAAAUCUUACAUGAUCUGAGCUCCAAACC